AUGGGCCCUCAGCUUCUGCUCCUUCUUCUGCUCGUCGUAUCUGGAGGCGUUGCCGCUGCCGGCGCCGACGACGCCGGGCUGCCCCGACUCGAGUUCCGAGGCGUCGUCUACUCUGGCCUUGGGAACGCGUCCGUCGCGCCGGAGGAGCUGGCGUUCAUGGACGUCAUCUCCGCGGACGGCGCCUGCGGGCGCUUGGCCCGCCUCGUCGCCGAGACGGGGAACGCGGGCGCGGUCUUCCGGGAGCGCGUCACGGGCGGCGGCGGCCUCACGGUGUUCUGCCCCGAGGACAAGGCCCUCGCUGAGUUCGAGCCGACGUUCCGAAGCCUCGGCGCCGACGACCGGCUCGCCGUGCUGCUGUACCACGCCACGGCGGCAUGCUACGGCCAGUGGCGGCUCCAGGAAUUUGCAACCGGGUAUUUAUGUGUAUUCAUUUUGCUAAAAUCAUUGAUGUUUUUUAAAAAUUGUCACUCUUUUGCCAAAAUCAACUCUGUUUUGUAA
rnacentral:rRNA from 1 species